rnacentral:rRNA from 1 species
CCUACGGGAGGCAGCAGUGAGGAAUAUUGGUCAAUGGGCGAGAGCCUGAACCAGCCAAGUAGCGUGCAGGACGACGGCCCUAUGGGUUGUAAACUGCUUUUAUACAGGGAUAAAGUCGGGGACGCGUUCCCCGUUUGCAGGUACUGUAUGAAUAAGGACCGGCUAAUUCCGUGCCAGCAGCCGCGGUAAU